CCCUUAGAUGUUCUGGGCCGCACACGCGCUACACUGAAGGAGGCAGCGUGUACUCCUGGAUCGAAAGAUUUGGGUAACCCGCGAAUCUCCUUCGUGCUAGGGAUUGAGGUUUGCAAUUAUCCUUCAUGAACGAGGAAUUCCCAGUAAGUGCAAGUCAUAAGCUUGCGCUGACUACGUCCCUGCCCUUUGUACACACCGCCCGUCGCACCUACCGAUUGAAUGGUCCGGUGAAAUCUCGGGACGGCGGCUUGGUCGCUUGCGUCCGACUGCUGAAACUUGAUUAAACCAUAUCAUUUAGAGGAAGGUGAANUCGUANCA
rnacentral:rRNA from 1 species